AACACCUCGAAAGAUUUUAAGUUGUCUGGUUGUUGUACACAGAGUUUUUUCUUAGCCUUCCUUUUAUUAUACAACUAUCAGUUAAGAAAAGCCUGAAAGGAAGCGAGAGAAGCGCGCAGAAAACCCUCCACCGAGAUGACACAAAGUAGGAUGAAAAGACUGUCACUGAGCUGGAGUAAACUCCUGAGCAGGAUACGAAAAGCUAUAGCCAACCUAACUAGAAGGACCUACACAUGGCUGGAUAAACACAUUAACCAAAACAGGACGAGGAACUCUGACAGACGACAAUACAAAGAAAUGACCAAACAGUUCAAGACUACCCUGAAAACAUGCUACAAGAAUGACAAAGUCUCCAAAAAGGAGAUGAGGAUGGCCAAGAAGCAGUGGAAGGAGGCCAUGAAGAAAGUAAAAAAGGAGGACAAAAGGAGGGAAAAACUAUGGAGCUCAAUCAAUAACAAUAAGAAAACAGAAAAUAGGAGAAUGGAGAGGGAGAUACCAGAAAGUACAGAAUAAACUUUUGAAUAAAAAUACUUGGAAACAGAAGAUUGUUGACAACGAGCAGAUGACUGAAGCUGCACGAUGCUCAUUUCAGAAGAAAAGACUUAAGGCGGACUUUGUGGACAGAAACUAAAGCUCUGCUGAGCCUCAGCUGUGUGUUUGUUCAGUCUGCCAGUGACUCAACUCCCAUCUGGAGCGAACAGAUAUGAAAAGGCCUGAAUGUUCUUCAGUGAGAGAAACGAUCCAGAAUGCAGAUAUUUUAAGCCUCAGGAGUCUCUGUCUGUUCGGGCUUUUGAAAGAAAGAACGACUGCAGGAAUCCUGAUGCUCCAAAAUGACAGCAGUGACGUGAAGUGGCACCAGAAACACACAGCAGGUUCAUACUCAACGCUGCAUCCAUCUCAAGCCACCAAAAGCAGCCAUCGCUGUCUCU